UACGGGGGGAGCAAGCGUUGUUCGGAUUUACUGGGCGUAAAGGGCGCGUAGGCGGCCACCGCAAGUCGGUUGUGAAAUCUCUGGGCUUAACCCAGAAAGGUCAACCGAUACUGCGGGGCUAGAGUGCAGAAGGGGCAACUGGAAUUCUCGGUGUAGCGGUGAAAUGCGUAGAUAUCGAGAGGAACACCUGCGGCGAAAGCGGCUCUCUGGAACGGUACUGACGCUGAGAGACGAAAGCUAGGGGAGCAAAUGGG
rnacentral:rRNA from 1 species